GUAGGUGAACCUGCGGAAGGAUCAUUAACAAAUGCAGUUGGGUGGGUGUGUGUGUGGUUGGGUAAUUGUUGACCCGAUCCACUCUACCUCAAUCCAUAAAAGCGCGUGGUGGUGUAAUGCUGCCCGUGUGGGUGCCGAGUCUGUGGACUGGGUGCUAUAAAUUUGCGCAUUGAUAGUGUGUGUGUGUGUGUGUGUGUGUGUGUGUGACUGGUUGGUGGACGAGUGUGACUCGCUUUAUUUUAUUGAUGGGCGGGUGCGGCUCUUGCGCUUAUCAUCCAUCAUCUCACAUACUACUACUACUACUACUACUACAUGUUUGUUGGGUCGACUGAUUGAGACAUUAUAAAAUACAACUUUUAACAAUGGAUCUCUUGGCUCUU
rnacentral:misc_RNA from 1 species